ensembl:snRNA U7 U7 small nuclear RNA
UAGUAUUAGACCUUGUUUAGAAUUUGUCUAGCAGGUUUUCCAGUUUCCACCAGAAAACCCGA